rnacentral:tRNA from 1 species
GGGCUCUUAGCUCAGUGGAUAGAGCAAUCGCCUUCUAAGCGAUCGGUCACAGGUUCGAAUCCUGUAGAGCCCG